rnacentral:misc_RNA from 1 species
UGAGAUCUGGCGCGAUACUCGGUUAUCUGGCGACUGUGACGCUCCACAUCUUCGAUCGUCUUCUUCUCCGUAACGGUAUCUAAGAAGCAUGAGGAAACAACUCGACUAUCCACAUUCCCACGGACGACUUCCAGAACAAUCGCGAAACAGCCUACAACUUCUUCCACUCGCAGCAAAAAAGGAAUGACACGCGAAGAUGCACUCUGUGAUGCAUAAC